GAUGAACGCUGGCGGCAUGCCUAAUACCUGCAAGUCGAGCGAACAGACGAGGAGCUUGCUCCUCUGACGUUAGCGGCGGACGGGUGAGUAACACGUGGAUAACCUACCUAUAAGACUGGGAUAACUUCGGGAAACCGGAGCUAAUACCGGAUAAUAUAUUGAACCGCAUGGUUCAAUAGUGAAAGACGGUUUUGCUGUCACUUAUAGAUGGAUCCGCGCCGCAUUAGCUAGUUGGUAAGGUAACGGCUUACCAAGGCAACGAUGCGUAGCCGACCUGAGAGGGUGAUCGGCCACACUGGAACUGAGACACGGUCCAGACUCCUACGGGAGGCAGCAGUAGGGAAUCUUCCGCAAAGGGCGAAAGCCUGACGGAGCAACGCCGCGUGAGUGAUGAAGGUCUUCGGAUCGUAAAACUCUGUUAUUAGGGAAGAACAAAUGUGUAAGUAACCAUGCACGUCUUGACGGUACCUAAUCAGAAAGCCACGGCUAACUACGUG
rnacentral:rRNA from 1 species